GAAUUUCUUCAUUGAUGGCUUAAAAUUUUGGAAAUAUAUUCAAGUUUUAUGAUCCGGUUGUCAGUCAUACUUAACGGUCGAUUUUCAGUAUAGAUAUGAAAAAUCUUUGAAAUAGAUGUGAAAAAAAAAUCGUUUACGACUUUGUAAACACCACUGACACUCGGAUUCAUAAAUUCCAGAACUCUCUCCUUCCACACGUAUCCAUGGUUUCACAUGGAAAACAAUAGCGGCUUGCGGAAUUGAUUGGAUAUUUGUAUGAGCAGGGCGUGGUUUUCACGCAAAAAAUCUGCGAAAAGAGUUAUCUGUUCUUGACUUCCGGAAAUGACGUAUCCGCCAUUGUGUCUUACAUGAAACAUGAAACUUGUAACAAAAUGACUUUUACCGACUAUUUUUUGGACGGACUGCUUACUGAGAGGACAGACAACAUUGGAAAUAGGCCACGGAGGCCAAUCACGUAAGGAAUGAUACUGUCUGUCCAUCCAUCUGCCUGAAAGGAUCUUCUCCCAGUUAGACAGUCUCAUCAGAGUCAUGUGGAGAGUCACUAUACCAACGCCCUGGAGGGAAAUACCAAUAUUGGACUCAAAACCCAUACAGUGAAUUGGUUAGAAAGUUUGGAUGAAGCACAUCCUGAACAUAUAUGGUAAAUUCUGGUGAAGAAACAGCUCGGACCUGAAAAUAUAUACUUUAGAACAUUCAAUAAACUUAGUCAAAUGAUGAAUAGUUAAUGUAUCAUUAUUAUAAUGAAUACCAAAACAGUUCAGAUAGUCACUAUUGCAAAUCCCAAUGGAUUAUUAGACUUAAAGACUGCUUUGAUCUUGGUCUUUAUAUAUAAUAACUUCUCGACAUAUCCAUUUUUUAUAGGAAUAACAGGUUUUUCGCAAAAUAUUUACCAAUUUUUUUGAAUAAUGAGAAUAUUUUAGUGUAAAUAAUACAUUUUCCAAGAGAAAACAUCAUUAUAGCAAUGUCUGACUAAACAAUGACUUAACUCUUAGAGUUUAAAUGGAUUAUUUUUAUUUUCUCGGUCAAAAUUUGGGAUUUUUCAAAAUUACAGUUUUUUUUCAUGCAGGUAUAGGGCUAAUCAAAUUCCAUCUAGAAUAAAUAUCAAUCAGCCAAAUACAAUGAAAUUAGGUUCAUCUGAAAGCUAAGAUUGUAAGCUUUAAUAUGAUACCAAACAUGU